AACCACGCUUUUACCAGAUUUGUAAAAAAAGACCUGCUUCUCCUGGUGUUGUAUCCUUGCUGGACGGAGAUGGUGAAGAUGCUGGAGGCGGCUAAGCCAGCACAGUAUGGGGCAGAUUUGACAAGGGACAAGAAAAGAAGGCCACCUCCCCUCCAGACAUUCCGAUCAGAGAAAAGAGACAAUUCGAAGCCAACCCAAAGAGACGUCCAAGACCUUGUCUGGGCUGCCUAUCUGUAAUAUCAGCUAAAAAGGAGGCUCCUGUAACACAUACAGCUGAUCCUGUCCUAAUGUGAAGGUGGAUCCAACAAGUGACGUCGUGAUCCUGCCAGUCGAAGUGCAGAAAAAUCACAGUCAAAUGCAUGUUGGCCUGAUAACCAAAUAUUGUUCUU